GAUGAACGCUAGCGGCACGCUUCAUACAUGCAAGUCGAGGGGCAGCAUAAAGUACUUGUACUUUGAUGGCGACCGGCGAACGGGUGCGUAACGCGUAUGCAACUUACCUUUUACUAGAGAAUAGCCAAGAGAAAUUUUGAUUAAUGCUCUAUACUCUUUUUAACUCACAUGAGAUUUUAAGAAAAGCUCCGGCGGUAAAAGAUGGGCAUGCGUCCUAUUAGCUUGUAGGUGAGGUAACGGCUCACCUAAGCUCCGAUAGGUAGGGGUCCUGAGAGGGAGAUCCCCCACACUGGUACUGAGACACGGACCAGACUUCUACGGAAGGCAGCAGUAAGGAAUAUUGGACAAUGGAGGAAACUCUGAUCCAGCGAUGCCGCGUGAAGGAAGACGGCCCUAUGGGUUGUAAACUUCUUUUAUACAGGAAGAAACCUUUCCACGUGUGGAAAGCUGACGGUACUGUAAGAAUAAGGAUCGGCUAACUCCGUGCCAGCAGCCGCGGUAAUACGGAGGAUCCAAGCGUUAUCCGGAAUUAUUGGGUUUAAAGGGUCCGCAGGCUGUUUGUUAAGUCAGGGGUGAAAUCCUACCGCUCAACGGUAGAACUGCCUUUGAUACUGGCAAACUUGAGUUAUUGUGAAGUAGUUAGAAUGUGUAGUGUAGCGGUGAAAUGCAUAGAUAUUACACAGAAUACCAAUUGCGAAGGCAGAUUACUAACAAUUAACUGACGCUGAGGGACGAAAGCGUGGGUAGCGAACAGGAUUAGAUACCCUGGUAGUCCACGCCGUAAACGAUGGUCACUAGCUGUUCGAUGUACAUUGGUACAUUUGAGUGGCUAAACGAAAGUGAUAAGUGACCCACCUGGGGAGUCCGCUCGCAGGAGUGAAACUCAAAGGAAUUGACGGGGGGCCCGCACAAGCGGUGGAGCAUGUGGUUUAAUUCGAUGAUACGCGCGGAACCUUACCAGGACUCAAAUGUAAGUUGCAUGAUUCAGAAAUGGAUCUUUCUUCGGACUACUUACAAGGUGCUGCAUGGUUGUCGUCAGCUCGUGCCGUGAGGUGUCAGGUUAAGUCCUAUAACGAGCGCAACCCCUCUCGUUAGUUGCCAUCAAGUAAAGUUGGGAACUCUAGCGAAACUGCCGGUGCAAACCGUGAGGAAGGUGGGGAUGACGUCAAAUCAUCACGGCCCUUACGUCCUGGGCCACACACGUGCUACAAUGGCCAGUACAGAAAGCAGCCACUAUGCGAAUAGGAGCUAAUCUUCAAAGCUGAUCUCAGUUCGGAUCGGAGUCUGCAACUCGACUCCGUGAAGCUGGAAUCGCUAGUAAUCGGAUAUCAGCCAUGAUCCGGUGAAUACGUUCCCGGGCCU
rnacentral:rRNA from 1 species